AUCGCUUCUUGGCCUUUUGGCUAAGAUCAAGUGUAGUAUCUGUUCUUAUCAGUUUAAUAUUAUUUUCAGAUAGUAUACUUCUUUACUUUGAAAACAUACAAAAGAACACUGAAUUUUAGCACUUUUC
rnacentral:snRNA from 1 species